UUACCUGGGUGUGUGGUUGUUCGACGCAGCAGGGCUGCACCAGAUCUACUACCUCAAGUUUGACUUUAGAGUGCUGGUUUAUGCGAUGCAGUUCUGUCACUGCUUCCUGCUGUCCUUUUAGAGUUUGAUUUUCUUUUUUGUUAGUCUGCCCAGUUUGGAUUGUUUGUCCCCUCUUAGUGUUUGUGAGGGUGGGCUAACAACCUUCCAUUUAUUUUGUUUGUUUUGUCCUCCGUUUAUCUUUCGGUCACUUCCUGAAUAUUCACAUUUAAUUUCGCUGUUAAUCUUAAAUAUCUGAAACCCGGUCCUGUUCGGUGUGAUCUUGAGUUUGGAUUGCAUGUGAUCAUUUUGCAGUGAAUUGAGUGCAUCUUAAGUUUGCAGUGAACAUUGUAGUGGUUUAUGCGUGUUUGUCCGCCUGAAGUGGAGUUUAAAUUCGGGUUGAACAUUAUUGGAUUGACAACAAAUGGAUAAAGUUAACGGGAAAGCCUUUUAUUUGUGUUACAAAUAUUGUUAACUUCAUUCUGGUUGCUGUUCGGCUUGACGGAGUCAUAACAUAUGUUUCAUUUUUUUUAUUUAAAUAUGCAGGAUAUGUAUCACAAUAUCUGUGUAAAAAUGUUACAAAUAAUGAAUUAUGGUUUAAAAAAAUAAUUGACAAAAACAGGCAUGCACAAUUUUUCAAUCUA